rnacentral:rRNA from 3 species
AAACUUUCAACAACGGAUCUCUUGGCUCUAGCAUCGAUGAAGAACGCAGCGAAAUGCGAUAAGUAAUGUGAAUUGCAGAAUUCAGUGAAUCAUCGAAUCUUUGAACGCACAUUGCGCCUGGCAGUAUUCUGCCAGGCAUGCCUGUC